UGCGUAGGCCGCACGGUAAGUCAGAGGUGAAAUCCCGGAGCUCAACUCCGGAAUGGCCUCCGAUACUGCCGUGCUCGAGGACUGGAGAGGAGUCUGGAAUUCACAGUGGAGCAGUGAAAUGCGUAGAUAUUGUGAGGAACACUAGUGGCGAAGGCGAGACUCUGGACAGUUCCUGAGCUGAGGCACGAAGGCCAGGGAGCAAACG
rnacentral:rRNA from 1 species